rnacentral:rRNA from 1 species
CCUACGGGGUGCAGCAGUGGGGAAUAUUGGACAAUGGGCGAAAGCCUGAUCCAGCCAUGCCGCGUGUGUGAAGAAGGCCUUCGGGUUGUAAAGCACUUUCAGUGGGGAAGAAAGCCUUGGGGCUAAUACCCUCGAGGAAGGACAUCACCCACAGAAGAAGCACCGGCUAACUCCGUGCCAGCAGCCGCGGUAAUACGGAGGGUGCGAGCGUUAAUCGGAAUUACUGGGCGUAAAGCGCGCGUAGGCGGUCUGAUAAGCCGGUUGUGAAAGCCCCGGGCUCAACCUGGGAACGGCAUCCGGGACUGUCAGGGUAGAGUGCAGGAGAGGAAGGGAGAAUUCCCGGUGUAGCGGGGAAAUGCGGAGAGAUCGGGAGGAAUACCAGUGGCGAAGGCGGCCUUCUGGACUGACACUGACGCUGAGGUGCGAAAGCGUGGGUAGCAAACAGGAUUAGAUACCCUAGUAGUC